UCCCGUUUUCACGUGGCUGUUUGUUUUUAAGACCCCAAAUAACUGUACUUUGCGACGUGCUGGAUGCGUGCGCCAGGCGCGGUUCUGUGGCACUGCUGCACAAACAGCUUCGUGUGUGAGCGGUUAUAGAAGGGUUGUGAGCAGCUUACCAUAACGCUUCCAGCCAGCCUCUGCUGUUCUGUGGGAAGUUGUGUACUUGGCUGUGUCGUCUGGAGAACAAAUGUCUGUACAAACAGAUGUACCCUCAGUCCUUUGCCUGUGAACUUCUGGUUGGGCAUUUUGUGUCUAAGACCAAUAAAGACAAAUAGGCAGUGCCUUGCUCAGAAACCAUGUCUUCCAGACAGGGCAAAAGGGAUGUGUGCUUUGUAUGAGUUACCUCUUGAAAUUCACACUAGUAUUCACUUAAGGGAAAGGUGUUCCUUUCUUUUAGGGUCUCAGCUGUAAUUAAGGUUCUGCAGGCCAAGUCACUCUUGCAGUAUCAGUGCUACAACUCCUCUGCAAGAGUUUUCUGCCCCUACACAUCUGCCCAAUCUCAUUUCAUUUUGGUAGAUGACAAAAAAUAGAGUUUGCUUCUACAGCUAGAAGCUAGGUAGCAUUGUAGCCAGUGGUGCAUGAGCAGGCAGCUUCCAUUAGUAUAUAUAGAAUAGUGAUUACAUACUAUGAAGCAGCAGCCCAUAAAUGGCACUUUGUUACCCCGUUCUUAUGAUGCAAGCUAUUGUUAUCCAUCAGGGACAAAGAGGAAGUUUGCUCAGAUUCUAACAGCAUAAGUACUGAGCUUGUAAAGAUUGGAAAAAGGGAGAUGGCCAAUUACCUGUGGCUUACCUGGCAGGUGAGGUUUCCGUGAGUGGUGCAGGACAUCAUUUAAGCUGAUGUAGCCUAGAUCUAUUUUAUUGUUUUAUCUUCGUUUACAAUGGAAUCCUGAGAUCUCUCAUCUUGUCAUUUGCAGUAUCUGUGAUGGGGAAGAAGUGCUUGCUUUUGCCAGAGCUUGGCAGCUCAGCUGCUAGGAUGUCGCUUGUGUGCUGAGUCACCAUAAUGCAGGUGGUUCAAAACGUACAUACUUAGUAUAUUAAAAUGCUCUUUCACUUCCUAGACCUACUCAGUCUCUUGGGAAUCCUGUCUCAGGACUUGGAACAAAACCAAAGUGCCUUUCUCCAGUUGUCCUUUCUACAAACCUAAGCAGAGGUGUAAUUCCCAUUGCCUUUGUGGCCAAGCCCAGUUUGGUCAUAAGUUGUCUGCUGCAAGAACGGCUCCGGUCGGUCUGAUUGGUUGUUUUUCCCUGCCUGAGUGAUUCUAUGGCUUUGUCCUGAUCUGGAACACAGCUCCUGGUGAUUUUUUCUUUUAUUAAAUGCAUACAUACAGAAUUAGCACUGAGAGAAUUUUAGUGGAAAAACAAAUAAUGAUAAUUACUUCCUCAAGCAAAUAGAAAGGAACACAUGCAGAGGUG
rnacentral:lncRNA from 1 species